AUAGCAAUGGCCAUUUCUUCAUUUGAUAUGAUGAUAUACAUUAGUUCUUUGUGCCUACAAAUUUCAAGACACCUUCAUCUAAAAAUCUUCAAGACUUCAUGUCAACAAGCACCUGAACAGGUUCAAGUUCUUUCUUCAAAGGUUCAUCAGAAUAACAUGGACUGAAGAGACUUUCGAACAUUUGCCAUCUCUUGCUGCUGCUGUUUCAUGAAAGGAGAUAUGAAACGUUUAAUUUUUAGUUAAAUGUUAUAAAAAUUUCAGCAAAUAAAACAUUUCAGUGUCUUCAUUA